AUUGAACGCUGGCGGCAGGCCUAACACAUGCAAGUCGAGCGAGUGGCGGACGGGUGAGUAAUGUAUGGGAAACUGCCUGAUGGCGGGGGAUAACUACUGGAAACGGUAGCUAAUACCGCAUACCAUCGGAUGAGCCCAGAUGGGAUUAGCUUGUAGGUGGGGUAACGGCUCACCUAGGCGACGAUCCCUAGCUGGUCUGAGAGGAUGACCAGCCACACUGGGACUGAGACACGGCCCAGACUCCUACGGGAGGCAGCAGUGGGGAAUAUUGCACAAUGGGCGCAAGCCUGAUGCAGCCAUGCCGCGUGUAUGAAGAAGGCCUUCGGGUUGUAAAGUACUUUCAGCCGGGAGGCGUUACCGACAGAAGAAGCACCGGCUAACUCCGUGCCAGCAGCCGCGGUAAUUC
rnacentral:rRNA from 1 species